AUUGAACGCUGGCGGCAUGCCUUACACAUGCAAGUCGAACGGCAGCGGGGACUUCGGUCCGCCGGCGAGUGGCGAACGGGUGAGUAAUGUAUCGGAACGUACCAUUCAGUGGGGGAUAACUAUCCGAAAGGAUAGCUAAUACCGCAUAUUCUGUGAGCAGGAAAGCAGGGGAUCGCAAGACCUUGCGCUGAUUGAGCGGCCGAUAUCAGAUUAGCUAGUUGGUGAGGUAACGGCCCACCAAGGCUACGAUCUGUAGCGGGUCUGAGAGGAUGAUCCGCCACACUGGGACUGAGGAACGGCCCAGACUCCUACGGGAGGCAGCAGUGGGGAAUUUUGGACAAUGGGCGCAAGCCUGGUCCAGCCAUGCCGCGUGAGUGAAGAAGGCCUUCGGGUUGUAAAGCUCUUUCGGCCGGGAAGAAAUCGCAUCAGCUAAUACCUGGUGUGGAUGACGGUACCGGAAUAAGAAGCACCGGCUAACUACGUGCCAGCCGCCGCAGUAAAAC
rnacentral:rRNA from 1 species